CCUGCGUGGCUCGUUCCUCAUCCGGGAGAUAACGGGACCCGGAGGGCACGACGCCACCAGACGGCCCCGUCCCGGUAUUCGCUGUGGUGAAAACAGCAAUAGCAACAGUAAUAGCAGUAAUAACAGCAGUAAUAGUAGUAGCAGCAGCAGCAGCAGCAGCAGCAGCAGCAAACGGCGCCGAGGACACGUCGGAACGGCCGCAGCGGUCGAGAUGAGGGCCUGCGGCCAAGCCGGCGCUUCCUUCCGCGGAUGCUGAGGGGAAGUCGCGGCGCGGAGCGAUGACGCCGGCGCGGAGCGAUGACGCCGGCCCGAGGGCGAGGUGGGAGCUGUGGGGCUGGGGUGAGCCCGCGGGACGCGAGGACCAGCAGCUAGAGGAAGCCCGCGCCUGGCUGCGGGGCGGUGUCUGCCACAGGGGCUACAAGGGGCGGGAAUGCCGGAGCCUCGCGAGUUUCUCAAACCACGUUCCAGUGAGACAGGCGUGAGCCUUAGCCAAUCAGACCAUCCCGCCCUCACUUCCGUUUCUCUACGUCACUUCCUUUCCUAGGGCUAGGGACGGACUCAGCCCUCGAAGAGGUGCCUGUGCUUGCUAAUGUUUGUUAUCUGGGCUGUAUCCUGGUUCUGGAAUCACCAAUCAGAAGAUGGGUCUAAUCGUGAUUUCUCCCGUUGCACAGUGGCAAAGCCCAGUUUUCACAACCUAGAAGUAGCGUCGCAGAAGUUCUUGGUGGUGGGCAGAUGUGAACGCUAUUUCACAGCCUGUGGGAACUGACUUGUGCGCUCAGCCAGCCAGGCUGCGGGGCGUAGGGAGAGGAGGCCUCCGUUCCUCUGCUGGCCCCUACUCGAACAUGGCCGCCUUGGAGCCUGAACGCGUCCCUCGCUUCCACUGCUGCGCUCGGGAGUGGGGAAGAGCCGCUGCACACCGCGUUCUGAGCCUUUUCCACCUUUUGUUGGGGCAGUGCUGUCCAUCUUUUGCAUGGUCUUAGCUUGGUAACUUUUCUGAUAUUUGCCAAAUGUGAUAAAUAUUCUGUCACUGUAUUGCAAGACACCAGUGAUUCCCGCAUGUGGAAUCGGUCUACAGUGUCCACCAUAUUUUGUGAGAAGCUGUGUCACUACUCUAACCCACGACUUAGCCACCUCGCUGGUGUGAGCCUUUGUGAAUGUUUGAAAGGCUUGUGUGGAAGCCCCACUAUUCAGCAUUUACAGAUUUGUAGUGACUUAGGAUCCGCCCCGUUCAUCUUGCAUCUCCUGAGCAAGUAUACUUGCUGUGAACAGAAGGUGUGUACAUCAGGGCUGGCCAAGAGACAGCUGGGGAGACUGGCUCACCUCCCUGGCUGUGGGUGAGUCUGAUCCUCUACAGCCCUCAGCCCCUCCGAUGGCGCACUUCUACUGCACGUGCUCCUGUGAGGCACUGGAGGCCAGGGUUGCUCCUGAAGGGACUUUCACAAGGUGAUGAGCAUGGCAGGUCUCAGACCUCUUCUGUUCUGGGAUUUGUGCUUCCAAAACCCCUUGACUAAGUGUGUUCCAGUCCCACAGAGUGGAUGUCCAUGCCGCGGUUUGGCAGGUGCCCGCCCAUACCCGGGAAGUGGGGGCUUUGUCCCAACACCCAAGCUGGUUCCUGCCUCCCCAGGAAGCUGGGGGUCUGCAGUCAGCAGCUCGCCCUGUUUCCUGUGGGUCUCAGCCUGCUUCUACCUGCCCUGUUGCAGGCAGGCAGAGACAGAGGCUCUUUCUGGGCCUGCUCUGGGGCUCGGGGAGGUCCUGCAGAGGGGCUUUUAAAAGGCAGCUUUUAGGGACUGGACGUCUCUGACCUCUGUGGUAGCUGCAGAGCCUUGAGGCUGUUGGAGGGGAGAAUCAGUGUUUUCAGAGCGGCUCCUCUCUCCUGAAAAGCAUGGACCCACUCCCAGCCUCCAGAAGGGCUCUCUUCCACAGGCUGGAGUUUUUGUUUCCGUUGUUGGGAUUGAAAUGCCAUUGCUUUGCGACACUUGCUGCUCUGUCGCUGACUCCACUGUGUCAGCCUCUGCAGGCUGGAGGUACACACGUGGAGCCCCCUUUCCCUCUGUUCCUUUCUCAUUGUCUUUGUCUCUUUCUCUGAUUUGUUUUAUAACUUUACUCUAAUAACUGUUAUACAAUAUUGCGCAGUAAACAUUAUUUUAAAUGUCAUUAACUAUACACACAGCUAGUUAUAAAAUAGUCUCACAUACUUUGUAGCUUUAAGCUACUGCAAGAACUCAUUGUUCGGCACAUACAUGAAUGUGAAGACUGGCCUCAUGCCCUGGCUGGGACGCCCUUCCUUCUCAGGUGGUUUAUACAAUCAAUGCAGACACUUCCAAGGCAUCCACUGUACUUAGUGUGGUUGACACUGACGGACAGUGAAGGUAGAGCCAGUUGCUGCUGCCAUCACGUCAUCAGCAGAGCUCUGGCUGCCUGUAUUCUCGAUGUCUAUUCUUUCACUUACGGUCCUCAAAGUGUUCACCACUUUCAGUUGAAGAAAUACGGCCACAGUCUGCAUGGCAGUUGACAUUUUUGUCAUGCGAGCCAGGAGCAUGUUAGCAUCCACCACUUCCAGGUCAGCUCCACAGCUGGGAUUUACAGCAGGCGCCUUGGUAAUGAAGCGUGGGCAGUUUAGGGAACCCCAUGCUGGACGUGGUCCCAGCCCCCAAGGCAGAAGAUGCCUGGUCACUGUUUACCGACUUUAGAAACUCAGUCACAGAGUUGCAGUCUGAGAAGAACAUCGCAGCUGGUCUCCAUGAUCUCUGAAUAGAUUGUCCUUAGCCAAGUGAGCGUGGGCUUUGUGUCACCAUCACAGAGGGCGUUUAUCCAAUACGAUCUAGACACAGAGGGCGACUUACGACAAGUGACCAAACCACGGGUAGUAGGAUGAAGAGAAGGAUGUUUAGCAAUGCAUGAGUGCCUUCACGGGGUGGGGGGUGUUCGGUCACCUUGCAGCUCUUAAGAGCAGGAAGGGAGGCCCUCACCCAAACCCCAAGGCAAGCCGUGCUCCCCAUCCUUGCUAGCUCCUGUUGGCUGAGCACUUAGGCAUCACCCUUUCCCCUCGUGCCACUUUAUCUACCCUCUUUGAACUGCCCGCUCUGGUAGUAACCAUAGAGUAUUUAAGAAGUGAAGGCAACGUCGUGUUCACUUGGUCUGAUUUCCUUGAUUCCAUGAAAACUGAGGUCUGAGAAAUCAAGUGCCUUUCAGGGUUGACAAAGUGAAGCCAGUGAGCCCUUGGUGAUCCUUCUUUCAUUAAUUACUGUUGUGUCCUAAUCAAUACUGUCUCUAUUGUGUACCUUUUCCCUCGGGUCUCUGUCCAAAAGAAAGCUUCUGAGUUAACAAAUGGCUCUCCUAGAUUCUAAAAUGUAAACCAGCAGGGUGGUAGAGGGCUAGAUUUGAAAAAAAAAGGACACGUUUUUGUUUUUUACACAGAAUCCUUUUGUCAUUCUAGUAAUAUACACAUUUCAACUCAUUUCAGGAGACAAAACUCUCCAAUUUUGUGAUUCAACCCAGAGACAUGAUGAUGAGAUUUCAAAUGUGGUCAUGGAAGUGUGUGUGUGUGUGUAUGUGUGUGUCUGUGAGUGUGUGUGUGGUGUAGUAUAUUUAUGUGCACCUGUGUGUGUAAAUGUGGGUACAGCCUGUGGCUGCUCUUGCAAGGAGAAAGUGGAGGUAAGCACAGACCCCAGUGAUGGUGGGAAUCUUCUGUGCGGUGGAGCAAGCCCACACCCAGCAGCAGGUGCAGGGACUCCUGUGCAGCCGUCUCCUUGGCUUGUGGUUGGAGCUGUUCUCUGUCCAUCCCAGUGGAGCAGGACUGCAGCCCCUACAUUGCACACACCUGUGGGGUGGAGGACAGGAGGAAAGCUGAUGCCAUUGGUGUGAGAUCAAAGGCCUGCUUAGCAGCAAGCAGGGGACCCAACUCAUCAACAUUCCUUCCAGCUCCAGGGCGACCGGCUCUGCGGCAGUGGAUCAAAAGGGCCGUGCUUGGCUCAGGCAGCAGGGCUCCCACCGCGCCCUGUGGACAGGAGAGCUGGGAGGCUUCCCGGGCCACUGCUGUAGCUCAGGAUCAGGAUUCUUCAGGCUACCCUGUGUGCCAGCAUUCAACAUCUCAGAGUCUUAAGAUUCUUCCUGCCGAGCCUGGCAUUGUGUGGAAAUAAUCCCAAUUCCCUCAGCGAUGAAUGAAUGAACGCUGCCGUUAUCACAGCCAUGGCUGCGGCGGAGCUCCAGGCUGCCGGGGUCACGGUGCCUGCGUCUGAGGGGCCUCUUGGUUAGUGAGUGACACGAGUCGCAUGUGCUGAAGAGAGUCCUUCUUCUGCUUUAUAACUGUAUCAUCUCUGAUUUGUGAGUUCUUGUCGUAUUUUACACUGUAUCAGUAUUUUAGAGUGUAUUUUAUGAUUAUAUUAUGAUUAUUUGUGUUAUCUUUUGCCCUAUCAUUGUAUUAUUUCAGUAACCCAAAGAAUGAGGAAAUGCCAGAGAAAUAGCUCCAAGAGCCUUUCAGUUGGAGCUGCCACUGGUCUCAGAGUCAGCCUGGUCCUUCCCCUGGGCGUGCUUGUCUACCCACUGGCCAGAGUGAGGCCUGGCCUGCAUGUAUCCUGGCAUGCGAGGGACUGCUGGGGCCCCUGAGUGGUGGCUGGGGAGCACAUCCUGACCUAAGUGUGAGCUGCGGCUGGCUCACUUUUUCAGCCAGGACGUAUGGGAAGUUGGGGCAGAGCCGCUCCUGUGACUGAAUGCUCGGUGUGGGCACCAGACACCAUGUCCUCAAGGGGCAGCCUCUGCACGCUGUCCUCCUCCUUCCCGGUCUCACGUGCCUGCUGCCACCUGUGCCUGUUCCCUCUUGGUCCUGCCAGGACCGGUCCCAGGCCUCACUGUUCUACAUGUGCACGUGUGCAGCUCUUCAGGAUCUGAGGGAAUCCCUUUGAGCAGGGUCCACUUCAGUUCAGGAGAGCUCAGCCUUCGAGUCUCUGGAUUCCCUGUGUGCAGUGCUUUACAAUGGCCAAGUCUUCUGCGAGAGACGACUCUGCUUUCACCAGACCAUAUCUACACUGUCUUGUGUGCAUGAUGGUGAGAGAGAGCGAGAGAGAGGGAGAGAGAGAGAGGGAGAGAGAGGGAGGGAGAGAGGGAGAGAGAGAGAGAGAGAGAGAGAGCAAGAGCGAGUGAGCAGGUGCUUUAGCAAGCAAGUUUCUGUUCAACCCUCAUUGAAAUUCAGAGACAGGGGGCAAGGUCACUCCCACACUGUAGCACUGUAGGCUGAAACUCCACAAGCAGCGAUCCCCUUCCCAUGUCCUUGCAGUGUAGCAUGGGAGGCUGUGUCUUUCCUGUGAUGGGUUGGACUUUGAUGACAUGCCCUUCCUCCUGGACUGGGAAGUAGGAGAGACUUUUCGACCAUGUUAUAAACAAGCCAUCCUCUAUGCUGCCUUUCCAAUCGGAAAGUACGGAUGGUUCAUCUUCCCCAAGUAGCUUCCACGUGAGCAGGUGGGUUUCUCUGACUGGGUUCGAGUUCUUGCCUUCUCACUCAGGUCGGGGGCAGCAGUGACAGCUCUGCCUUCAGAUCCCUUUCAGGUAGGGUCUUCAGUGCCGUAGGAAGUAUAGGGCACAUGUUCAGACUUGGCAGGGCUGCUCAGACCGGCUCCUUCAUUUUCCUCCUGUUUGUCAUUCCACUUUCAUUCUAUUCCUUCACAAAAUGUGCCCAAACAAUACUGUGAAAUAAUCCACAUAGGUAAUUUUCUCAACACUAUUUCUUUAGUGAUGCCUCCUUUCAGAGAACGGCACCUUCUUCUUCGAUGGCCCAUUCUUUCCACUGGGAUCUCACUCACAGAGAUCUUUCAUUUAGGUCUUUUCUUUUUGCCACAGUUUCUUGGCUUUCCAAGCCUGAAAUACUCCUGUGGGCUGUUUAGCCAGAUCCGAAUGCCUUAAGGGCUGAUCCUGAGGCCAGAGUGCUGUUAAGGACAUCUGCCAUUCUAUGAGUAUGCUGUGUAUCCCACUUCCCAUGUUGGAUCGUUCUCUCAUUUUAAAUUCUAUCAGUAUUAGCAGACACAAAUCUUGUUUAUGUGAUCCCUUUGACAUUUAAUCCUAUCAUUAGGAUCAAUUAUGAACCGAAACUGAUCACUUUGACUAGUGAGAUGGCAUUGUCAUAUGCCACCUUGAUGGGAUUGAAUUGGAAUCCCCUGGCAUGUUUCUAGCUCUACCAUUAGAGGUAAGUCUGAUUGAGCAUGUGCCGAACUGUACAUCUCCUACCUCUCUCAUUCUCACUCUUAUAUUUAACAGGGAUCGCUUUUCAGUUAAAUUUAAACACCUAAGAAUAAUUGUGUGUUAAUUAAAGAGUUCAACCAAUGGUAUUUAGUAGAACAAAAAAUACUAAUAGUAAUAAAGUAGUAAGUUGUUCCUCGACAGUCAGGACAAGGGGUGACCAAGUCAUUUUUUCUCAUAGUGUCCAUUUCACUUCAACAGGUUUCCUUUUAGGUGCGCAGUUAGUUCUCACAGAUCAGGGAGAACAUAAGAUAUUUGUCCCUUUGGGACUGGCUUCUUUCACUCAGCAUGAUGUUUUCCAGAUUCCUCCAUUUUGUUCCAAAUGUUUGGAUUUCAUUUUUUCUUAAUACUGCUGUGCUCUCACACUUUUAACAAAAGAGUAUUACUGAUACUUUCAAUCAAGGGAUAUAGUAAAACUAUAGUUUUAUAGAUUUAUAAGUUCUUAAAUGUAUUAGUUCAAUUAAGUCCUGUCUAUUGAUUCGCAAAUUCAGUUGUUAUCUAAAGAGAAUAUAGCAUUGUAUUUUCAGGAUUAUCUAUCUGUAUCUAUCCACUAAUCUACCCACAAUCUACCUAUCAAUCAUCUAUCAUCUGUCUACCUAGCUUGCUGUCUUCUAUCUUUACCUCUCUUUUGUGUGUGUGUGUGGUUUGACGUAUGGAAUGCAGACUCUAACAGCCAAGUUUAUGACUUUCCUUACCAUUAACUUCUUUUGUUCCUUCUUUCUUUACUUUUGCUCUUAGAGUGAGAUCAAACCUGUCCAACCCUUAGCAGAAGCAAAGCAAACUAACCUGGGAACCCAUUUCAUGCUAAGGGCUGUUAGGGGCCUUGCCCUCACUCAAAUCCUAGCCGCAGGCUUUCUUAGAACUAGGAGGGGUCUGCACAUUCCUCCUCAAACUUGUGGACUCCACCUUUUAAUCUCUUCUCAAAAUGGCACAAGUUACAAACACCUGCAUUCACCUGAGAGCAAGCUCCCUCUUGUCUCAGGCAAAUGGCUACCAAGACCUGGGGGCACAGUGACCUUCGGUUUUCACGGGAGAUUUCAGCGUCCAAGUAUAGCCAGAGUUCGCUGGGAAACCUCAUGCCUCACACUCAGGUUUGGGAGAGGCAGAGAUUUGUGGGGAGAAAAAGAUCCUCUCACUCCCUGAUUUUAUUUCAGUGGGUCUGCUUAUCUUCUUGGCUGAAAGUUGUGAAGUCAAGGCAGAUUUUUUUUUUCUUUCUCUGUUGCAGAGAUAGUGGAUCCCAUGGCAUUCUCCAGAGAUAAAUGAAAUAUGAGGGUUGUAGAUUCUCAAAGAAAUUUGUGGAGUUUUUCUCUUUGUUUUGUUGUUUUUAAGAGUAAUAUCAGGGUAGAAUCAACAGGGACCCCGUCAUCAUGCUACCAUCUCAGGAGCCCUGAGUUCUUUUCUCAAGCUCUCCCUCCCUGUGUGGCCUUUCUGGGCCUUGGUUAAUCAGCUAUAGACUGGACUAGACAAGGGAAAAUACGAGUUUCUAAAUUCUGGGACAGUUGGCCAGUGGAGUUCAUCUUUGAACAAACGUUGGCCCUGGGACACCAGCACAGGAGUGACCUGUGGGUGAGCUCAGGUGGGAGGAGCCCACAGGGACCGCUUGUUUCUGUAGCUGACAGUAAUCUCGCCUCAUCUUCCACAAAAUGUACUGGCUGUUCACACCACUGUGCCCGAACUUAUACUCAAUCAAACACCAAUGGAUAGCUUUCAUUUUUGAGACCCACUAUUUCAGGUUUAGGAGACUUUCUAUCUGGCCCCUGCAUAUAAUUCCUGUCUACAAAAUACAUAUAAAAAGGCAGAUCUGUUAAAGAUGUCUGCUGAGCACAGGGUGGGGCAAAGCGUCCUCCUGCUGCUUACUCUACUGCAGGUCGCCAGCACUCACAAGUGCCCUCACAAAUCCACCAGGGGGCGCUAACCCCCACUGAAAGGGGAGGGCGGUGCAGCUCCCUGUCACUUGACUGAUAACAGCCCAAUGGAAGGUGUCUGCCUUAACCAGAAAUAUCACAUCUUUAAGAUGUCGUCAUCUCAGUUAUGUCAAGAGAAAUGACAUUUUUAAAAAAUAUAAUUCCAGCAUUUUGAUUUGGAGAUGGUUGCCAAUGGAGGCAUGAUUUUUCAUAACUGUAAUAUUAGCAACAGAUUCAAAUACAUACUAUCAUUCAUGCUUACAUAUAUAAAGCUUCGUUAAGAAGGAAGUCUAUAAUAGAGAACACUGUGGCUAAAUUAAGUUAUCCAUAUUGAGCAGGUUUUGUUAGCUCUUUUCCAAGGGUUACUCAUGCUGGUGGACAGCACACAGUGAUGCUGGCAUUUUGAGUCUUGUUAGUGAUGACAUUUGGUCAGGGCUGUGAAAGAGAAUGAAAGUGAACUCAGUCAAAUUUGACGACAUUCUCCAGCCUGCAGGUUCUGUGUUUGAAAUCACAAACAUAUAGCAUUUUCCCAGAAAUUUCAUUUAUGAUAAAAUAUUUCUAUGAUGUAAACAGCAAUUAACCUGCAUGAUUACCCCAGCCUAUUUUGAUCUGAAACAGUUAGCAGGGAGCAUUUUCAAAAGCACAUUAAUAUUAUUGAACUCAUAAAAUUGCCCUGACCUCAAAAACACAAUGCAAGGCGGAGUCUCCUUUUUGGUGAGUAUCAUAAAGAGUUAAAGUACUUAAGUACUAAUGGAAGAGGGCUCGUUGCUUGUCAUUUUUUUAAACACCCUUUCUCCUACACACCGCUUCCUAUUGCUAGCAAAGUUCAAGAAAAUUUGAUAGAAUUCUGAACCUUGAUUUGCAGAAUUUACUCUAGAAAAUUUGGACAUAUAUGUACUUUUAUUUGUAAUUUUAAUGUCCUACUAAUAUGAAAUCAAAAGCACUUUUCUUAAAAGCUAUUAUAAGGAGCAUAAAUAUUUUUAGAUGGAUUUUUAAAUUUUAUAUUGUUUCCUAACUUCAGUGAUCCAGUUGUAUUGGAUUUGGAACACUGUACGCUUGCCUGGAACAUCUUUAUUCCUGGAUUUUUAAAUCGACUGAUCAAUUUGAACGGGAGACAGAGACAGACAGGCAGACUGAGAUAGACCUUCCAUCCUCUGGUUUACUCCCCAAAUGCCCACAAAAGCUGGAGCUUGUCCAGGUUGAAGCCAAGAGCCUUUAACUCAAUUUGAGGGAUCUCUCUCUCGAGCCAUCACUGUUGCCUGCAGAGGUCAUCACUGUCAGGAAGCCAGAAUAGGCAACAGAGGAAGGACUCCAAUCAGGCACACCAACAUUUGGGAUGCCGGCAUCCUGAGAUCCAUCUGCAUCACCGUGCCUAACACCCAGUCCUUUCCCCACCUUUGAGCCAGUGUGUGCUUCAGUUUGUGGGCACCUAGGAGGAAGGAGCACAAGGGAUUGAUGGCAUCAUGCAGAAAAAGGAGCACCAGAACUAUUUCUGGCAUUGACUUUAAACUUUUGGGUCUUUUCAAUAAUGGAGGGGUUGGACCAGAUAUUGUGGAAUAUUCCUCCCUAACCUAAAGUUCCUUGGUUCUGUGAAAUGUUACCUUGUUCUGUCAUUGUAUGACCUCUCUCUAGCACCCCAGAGUUAAGAGUCCUGUGUCUAUAGUAUCUGCAGCAGUUGAGUUCUGGUGCAGGAAAGUUGCCCAGUGAAUAGCUGUUUGUCGAGUGAAUGUAUGAACCGCCAAAUUUGUGUCUGUAAGCACAGGUUUUAUCAUUGCACAAGGCUGCGCUGUAUCUGCCCAUCUAUCUUCCUUCUGCUCUUCCAUACAUAUUCGAUCAUUUUUGAAAGUAGCAAUGCUUUCCAUUUGGGCCAUAUGUUUCAUGGGAGCUGUGAAACUUUGGUGCUGAGCCGGCUCCCUUUGGUGUGUCCAGAUGCAAGCCUAGCGCUGCUGGCUGGGCCCUACCACACCACCUGGACCUGUGAGUGGACACUCAGCCUCUCAGUUCCAGUGGGUGCUGGGUCAGCAGGCCCUGUUUUGGGGCAUUUGUUCCUGAUCAUUUUUUGUAUUUGCCUAUAAAUGUGUCUUUUUAGCAGAACAAAUAAGCGUGAUCUUAUAGAUGAGGAAGACCUUUCUGUAUCCCUUGACCAGAACCAGAUAGUGUAAAUGCAGACACUAAAUGUCCUGAUUUUCUCAUUCCUUGCUACAUCAUCAGUAGAAAUCCCACCUACAGAGCAUGUACUGCACCAGGAUGGCAUAGGUAGGUGCUUAACCUGCAUUCAGGACCAUUCUUGCCUUUUCCAUUAAACGGCAACAAUGACAGAGGAAGAGGCAUCAUAAUUCUGUCUGUUGUGAGAAGGACACAGUGUAUUUGUAUACAGGCAGAAUAGGAUCAGAGCCAGGCCCAGCCUUAGAGCUUGUAGUCCUCCUUCUCUCAUGAAUUCUCACUUUGUCCUGAGAACCAAGCAAGCAAGCAAGCAAGAAAAAAAUUUUUUUUGGUGGGGAGAACAUGGGAAUUAUACUAAACUCAAGAAUUAUUCAUAAGCAUGAAAUCCAAGGGCAAAUGUCUGAGACCACAGUCACAAGGCUGGUUAACUUGCGAUAUGACUAAGCAGAAAGAAAAGAGUGCUUGCUGAGACUGGUCGUUUCCUGUUUAGCAUUGUCUUUUCGGGGGCCAUGGUCUUCUCCCUGUCUCUUUCUGACUCAUCUAACUAGAAAGAGUUGGCUCUGAAUUUUAUCACUUCACAGCUGACAGCAGGAACACUGUCAGCCUGGUUGAUGUGCAGACUCUAAAGUUUGAAGACCUCAGGGCAAUUCAGAGGGUCUGGAGAUGCGGUCAGUGUGACAGAGAAAGGACGCGGCAGGAAUAAGGGAAGCAGUUCUGAAUCCGGCUAUGACAUGAGGCUGUCCCCCAGAAUUCAUGUGAUGGAAACGGAAUCCCCAAGUUCAUGUGUUGAUGGUGAAAGUAUUUGGAAGCAGGAACCUUGGGAGAUAAUGAGGUUUAUACGAGGUCAGGGGAGAGGGGCUGUGCAAUGGCCUCAGCAACCAAUGAGCUGAUGCGAAGUUUGUGUCUGGUGAAGGAUACAGGCGGUGACACUGGGGUCUACUGGAGGAACAACUUGUGUUUAUAUCCCGGCUACACCUGACACAUGGCGGUGUCUCGGGGUAACAUGCCAGCCCCUGCUCCGGCUCAGGCUUCAUUCAUGAUUGCCCACUUCAAAGGCACCCGCAGACACCUGCACUGUCACUGCAGCUCCAUCAUGCAUUGCUCAGCUACUUGGAGCCCAGAACCCCUUGAAUGUGGUUGAGGACAGUAAAGGGUUUGAUUCAUGUGGCCACACCCUGCUGACAUGUACUGCGCUGGUAAUUAAACUGAGAAAUUUCAGGUCCUAUUUACUAUUUUCUCCACAAAUAACAAACUCCAUGCCAUGUUGACACAACUUCUUAUGCAGGCUGAGCAAGAAGAGUGGAAUUUAGUUUGUAAUUCUCUCCAAUAGGAGGCUGUGCAGAAGGCAGCUGCACCCUCAAUUCUCCUGUAUCAGUUGUGCCAAUAACUGUCAGCUGAAGCAGGUUCAGGUAUCCAUGAGGAAUAUUUUAAUAGCCUGUUCCGAGAAGUGUGUAAAUUGUUCUCUGAUACUACAUCACCACUUGAAAAGUGCUUGUUAAAAAUUUGUUUAUUUGAAAGGCAGAGAGAGAGAGGGAGAAAAUCUUCUAUCUGCUGAUUCACUCCCCAACUGGCCUCAACAGCUGGAGCUGUGCAAGGCCAGAGCCAGGAACCAGGGACUCCGUCUGGGUUUCUCAUGUGGAUGGCAAGGGCCCAGGCACUUUGGUCAUCAACUGCUGCUUUCCCUGGUGUGUAGCAGGGAACUGGAUCAGAAUCCAAGCAUCCGGGACUCAAACUGGUACUCUGAUAUGGGAUGUCUGCAUCACAAGUGGUAACUUAACUGGCUCUGCCCCAACCCUGGCCACAAAAAGGAUUAACUGAAGUGGGGACGCUGGAACUCCAAUCAGGUCCUGUUGUCCUCUGUUCUAUUGGUUUCCCCUGGAUUUGAAUGAUCUACCCUAUGCAGAAAUUUGUAAUGUCAUGUGCUGUUCCUUCAGAAAAUACUGGUUCUCUGAGUUGCUCAGAGUUUGAAGAUAUCAUAACACAAAGCAAAUAUAUCCCAUCUGCUGUGACCACUGGUCAUCUUCUCAGAAGCAUUGCCAACUGUGGGGCAGCUGUGAAGCACAGUGUGAUGCAUGCAAAUUUGCUAUAAUUUUUCUCCUGAAAGUCCCCAAAGCGUUAAGUUCACCUCAUUCACUUGCCAAAAAUGUCUGCCACAUACCCAGGUGGGAGGAGAAAGUUUAUUCGUUAGUCAUCCUUUUAAAUAAAGACUGUGUUCUAUGGAAAGAGCAGCUCAUUCAGCUGGAAGCUCAAGUGCUCACUAGCUUUGUGCGUGACAAAAGCGAUCCAACAUGGGAAGUGGGAUACACAGCAGACUCAUAGAAUGGCAGAUGCCCUAAAUAGCACUCUGGCCUCAGAAUCAGCCCUUAAGGCAUUCAGAUCUGGCUGAAGAGCCCAUGAGAGUAUUUUAGGCAUGGGAAGCCAAGAUACUCUGGAAAAAAAAGACCUAAAUGAAAGAUCUCCAUGAGUGAGAUCCCAGUGGAAAGAAUGGGCCAUCAAAGAAAGAGGUGCCUUUCUCUGAAGGGAGGAGAGAACUUCCACUUUGACUAUGACCUUGUUUAAAUAAGAUCAGAGUCGGCGAACUCAAAAGGCAUCCAUAGCCUUGGCAACUCAUGACAAAGGCCUAGGGUGAUUACUGAUGCCAUAAACAAGAGUGUCAAUUUGUUAAGUCAACAACAGGAGUCACUGUGCACUUACUCCUCAUGUAGGAUCUCUGUCCUUAGUGUGCUGUACAAUGUGAAUUAAUGCUAUAAUUAGUACUCAAACAGUAUUUUUCACUUUGUGUUUUGGUGUGGGUGCAAACUGUUGAAAUCUUUACUUAGUAUAUGCUAAACUGAUCUUCUGUAUAUAAAGAGAAUCGAAAAUGAAUCUUGAUGUGAAUGGAAUGGGAGAGGGAGCAGGAGAUGGGAGGGAAGUUAUGGGGGGAAAGCCAUUGUAAUCCAUA